UUAGAGUUUGAUCCCGGGCUCAGGACGAACGCUGGCGGCAUGCCUAAUACAUGCAAGUCGAACGCUGAAGCACUCUGCUUGCAGAGUGCGGAUGAGUGGCGAACGGGUGAGUAACACGUGGGAAAUCUGCCUAGGAGUGGGGGAUAACAUUCGGAAACGGAUGCUAAUACCGCAUAUCUUUUUGAACCGCAUGGUUCUUAAACGAAAGACGGCUUCGGCUGUCGCUCUUAGAUGAUCCCGCGGCGUAUUAGUUAGUUGGUGGGGUAAAGGCCUACCAAGACCAUGAUACGUAGCCGACCUGAGAGGGUGAUCGGCCACACUGGGACUGAGACACGGCCCAGACUCCUACGGGAGGCAGCAGUAGGGAAUCUUCCACAAUGGGUGAAAACCUGAUGGAGCAAUGCCGCGUGAAUGAAGAAGGUCUUCGGAUCGUAAAGUUCUGUUAUUAGAGAAGAACAAGUCAAGGAGUAACUGUCUUGACUUUGACGGUACCUAACCAGAAAGUCACGGCUAACUACGUGCCAGCAGCCGCGGUAAUACGUAGGUGACAAGCGUUGUCCGGAAUUAUUGGGCGUAAAGGGAGCGCAGGCGGUUGGAAUAGUCUGAUGUGAAAGUCCACGGCUUAACCGUGGAAGGUCAUUGGAAACUGUCCAACUUGAAUGCAGAAGAGGUAAGUGGAAUUCCAUGUGUAGCGGUGAAAUGCGUAGAUAUGUGGAGGAACACCAGUGGCGAAAGCGACUUACUGGUCUGUAAUUGACGCUGAGGCUCGAAAGCGUGGGUAGCGAACAGGAUUAGAUACCCUGGUAGUCCACGCUGUAAACGAUGAGUGCUAAGUGUUAGGGGGUUUCCGCCCCUUAGUGCUGGAGUUAACGCAUUAA
rnacentral:rRNA from 1 species